UUUGUACCAUUUUCUUCAUGCCAUUUCAUAUCUCUUGUCCAUUAAAAGUAAAUUCGAACUAUUUUCGGAAUUUGCCUCACAAUGGCACGCGCCGCACGCCGAGUUUGGAGCGAUGAGGAGGAGGAGUCGUUACUAGAAAAACUUACGACUCUUGUAGAUUAAGGUGUUUGGCAAGCUGAGCACGGGUUUCGUCCCGCGUACUUGGGAGUCUUGGAAAAUCAAAUGAGAUCUUCUUUCCCCCAAGGUGGUAUUGCCAAAAAUCAUAUUGAGGCAAAGAUUAAGAAUUGGAAACAAACUUGUUUUCAAUUACAACACAUGCUUCAAAUUCCCGGGUUUGGUUGGAAUGCAACUGAAAAUAGACUAUUGGUAGAAGAUGCAAUUUGGAAUCAGUAUGUCCAAGUCAAUCGACGAGAUAGGCGGAUGAGGGAAAUGCAAUUUCCGAAUUAUAAUCGAUGGUGCCAUUGCUUUGGACGUGAGUACUGAUGUGGAGAAGUUGGAAACAUGAGUUUGAUGUUGGAGAAUAAAUUUGUACCCUUCGUAAUGUACCUCAACUAAAUAUUUAAAUUUAAUUGAGAUGAUUACUUUGUGUUCA